rnacentral:rRNA from 1 species
GACGAACGCUGGCGGCGUGCCUAAUACAUGCAAGUAGAACGCUGAAGAGAGGAGCUUGCUCUUCUUGGAUGAGUUGCGAACGGGUGAGUAACGCGUAGGUAACCUGCCUGGUAGCGGGGGAUAACUAUUGGAAACGAUAGCUAAUACCGCAUAAUAGCAGUUAUUGCAUGAUAACUGUUUAAAAGGUGCAAUUGCAUCACUACCAGAUGGACCUGCGUUGUAUUAGCUAGUUGGUGAGGUAACGGCUCACCAAGGCGACGAUACAUAGCCGACCUGAGAGGGUGAUCGGCCACACUGGGACUGAGACACGGCCCAGACUCCUACGGGAGGCAGCAGUAGGGAAUCUUCGGCAAUGGACGGAAGUCUGACCGAGCAACGCCGCGUGAGUGAAGAAGGUUUUCGGAUCGUAAAGCUCUGUUGUAAGAGAAGAACGAGUGUGAGAGUGGAAAGUUCA